CAACCUUUCAGCAACCGAUCUCUUGGCUCUGGCAUCGAUGAAGAACGCAGCGAAAUGCGAUAAGUAAUGUGAAUUGCAGAAUUCAGUGAAUCAUCGAAUCUUUGAACGCAUCUUGCGUUCCUUGGUAUUCUGAGGAGCAUGCCUGUUUGAGUGUCAUCA
rnacentral:rRNA from 1 species